rnacentral:lncRNA from 1 species
CAACAUAAGCAGGGGUUCAAAUUAACAUUUGGUACUGGAAGGUCCAGGACCUUUGACACUCAAAACUGAAAGGUCCACAACCUAAAUUGCAGGUCCUACUUUUACUUGAAAUAUUUUAUAACACAGUAAGAUACAAAAUUAUUGUGCCUUUGGUGUUAGGUUAUCUUGUUACAUUGUCAGUGUCACUGUUGUAUAAUAUGUUCAAUAAACUAAUAAAUAUAAUUGUCUUGUAUAUUAUGAAUUCAUAUUAUCUUUAUUUUUUUU